rnacentral:rRNA from 1 species
UACGUAGGGGGCAAGCGUUGUCCGGAUUUAUUGGGCGUAAAGAGCGUGUAGGCGGCCAGAUAGGUCUGUUGUGAAAACUCGAGGCUCAACCUCGAGACGCCGACGGAAACCAUCUGGCUAGAGUCCGGAAGAGGAGAGUGGAAUUCCUGGUGUAGCGGUGAAAUGCGCAGAUAUCAGGAAGAACACCCGUGGCUAAGGCGGCUCUCUAGUACGGUACUGACGCUGAGACGCGAAAGCGUGGGGAGCGAACAGG